GCCAUGUCAUGAAGAUUCCAAGCACCCUGUACUAGUCAGGUCAGGUUUUCAUAACAAAAUACCACAGACCAGGUUGUUUAAACAACAGAAAUUUAUUUGCCAGAGUUCUGCAGGAUGAGAACUACAAGGCCAAGGUGCAGUCUGAUCCAGUUCCUGAAGCUCUAAGCAUCAAAGAUCUGUGUGAAGAAAAUGAAUCCAGAGAGGAAGACAUCAUAGAAAAAGAAUGGUUGAGAUGGAAGUUGAUAGAAGUUGCAUUUGGGAGACAACCUUCAAGUUCCUGGAAGUCAGGAAUCAGAAGCAGUUUGGCUGGGAAAUUUCGGCUCAGAAUAUCUCAUGAUGUUACAGUCAAGCAGUCAGCUGAGGCUGCAAACAUCUCAAGGUUCAACAACUCAACUGGGGAUGAGACUCUGUACUCCACCAUUAUGAAACUGAAAGCAAAAGUAAUAUACACCUCUAUAAUCUAAACAAGACUCAGAAUGUCUGAACUGACCUGCAGAUUCUGUAGAUCAGGCAUGUUCGUGUUCUGCUGACCCUGUCAAAAAAAAAAAAAAAAAAAAAAAAGAAGCUCUCU